GGCGAACGCUGGCGGCAGGCCUAACACAUGCAAGUCGAGCGAGCGGCGGACGGGUGAGUAAUGUAUGGGGACUGCCCGAUCGAGGGGGAUAACUACUGGAAACGGUGGCUAAUACCGCAUACUAUCGGAUAACCCAUAUGGGAUUAGCUAGGAGGUGGGGUAAAGGCUCACAUAGGCGACGAUCUCUAGCUGGUCUGAAAGGAUGAUCAGACACAUUGGGACUGAGACACGGCCCAGACUCCUACGGAGGCAGCAGUGGGGAAUAUUGCACGAUGGGCGCAAGCCUGAUGCAGCCAUGCCGCGUGUAUGAAGAAGGCCUUAGGGUUGUAAAGUACUUUCAGCGGGGAGGCGUUAACCGCAGAAGAAGCACCGGCUAACUCCGUGCCAGCAGCCGCGGUAAUUC
rnacentral:rRNA from 1 species